CCUGUAGCCCUGGCCUGAGCUGGCCCACUGCCAGACCUUCACUGGCAUAAUGGAUUGAAAUUCUCCUGAAAUGUGAGCCGAGGAAGCAAGAAUCUUCCCUCAUCAGUGACAAUGCAGAUGCCAAUAUUAGGCUCUUGAACUUCCUAGUCUCCAGAACUAAGAGUUGAGAAACUUCGUUUCCAAGUUUCCAGUAUUGGAUGCUGAAUUCCUUCUGCCUGGAGUGAAGGGGAAAGGCCACGGCCUGUGAGUCAGCCAUGUGCACCUGGUGAUCCUGGCACAAAGGAAGUGGACUCCAGAAUGCACUUGUUUCAGAACUGGUUGGUUCUGGCUCAGAUAUCUGCUUGUUGGAAGUGAGAUAAAGUCAGCGUCUUCCUCAUUCCCUGAGUCUGGACAUCCUAAGUGCGGUCAUUUACACAGAGUGCCUGGCUUCAGGCUUCCUGUCUAGGGCAGAGAUGACUACCCUAACAACAGCCUUUAAUGACCAUCUGCAGCCAGCAGGAUCCCCGAGGAAAGGCAGAAGGUUCGGGGCACGGAAGCGUGACAACUGCUGAUGUCACAAUGUCUCUAAUUCACUUUGGAUGCCUGACUACUGGACCACCUCAGGGCAGCAGCAAGACCAUGGCUGGCUGCAACAGAUAAAGGACAACAGGGGACCUGGAAUCCAGAGUUCAGGGGACUGCAGGAGACAAAGAAUAAUCCCUGGGCCAGGAAGCAGCCAAGCGAUCCAGACAAAGAUGUGGAACUCCAGAAACCUCUCGGGUACCAUUGACCGGGCCCUCCGCCCAAGCCAGACACUUGUGUUGACAAAGAGGGACGGCUAGGCACAGACUCAAAGGCACAUAUCCAAAUUCUAGGGGUCGUGCCCUUUGCAGGACAAUUCUCCCACUUGGUAAAAAAGAGUUCAAGUUC